AACGAACGCUGGCGGCAUGCCUAACACAUGCAAGUCGAACGAGACCUUCGGGUCUAGUGGCGCACGGUUGCGUAACGCGCGGGAACCUGCCCUUAGGUUCGGAAUAACUCCCCGAAAGGGGUGCUAAUACCGGAUAAUGUCUUCGGACCAAAGAUUUAUCGCCUUUGGAUGGGCCCGCGUUGGAUUAGCUAGUUGGUAGGGUAAAAGCCUACCAAGGCGACGAUCCAUAGCUGGUCUGAGAGGAUGAUCAGCCACACUGGGACUGAGACACGGCCCAGACUCCUACGGGAGGCAGCAGUGGGGAAUAUUGGACAAUGGGCGAAAGCCUGAUCCAGCAAUGCCGCGUGAGUGAUGAAGGCCUUAGGGUUGUAAAGCUCUUUUACCCGGGAUGAUAAUGACAGUACCGGGAGAAUAAGCUCCGGCUAACUCCGUG
rnacentral:rRNA from 1 species